rnacentral:rRNA from 1 species
UACGAAGGGGACUAGCGUUGUUCGGAAUCACUGGGCGUAAAGCGCACGUAGGCGGAUAUGUCAGUCAGGGGUGAAAUCCCGGGGCUCAACCUCGGAACUGCCUUUGAUACAGCAUGUCUUGAGUCCGAUAGAGGUGGGUGGAAUUCCUAGUGUAGAGGUGAAAUUCGUAGAUAUUAGGAAGAACACCGGUGGCGAAGGCGGCCUACUGGGCUGUCUCUGACGCUGAGGCGCGAAAGCUCGGGGAGCGAACGGG